rnacentral:rRNA from 1 species
GAUGAACGCUGGCGGCGUGCCUAAUACAUGCAAGUCGAGCGAAUGGAUUAAGAGCUUGCUCUUAAGAAGUUAGCGGCGGACGGGUGAGUAACACGUGGGUAACCUGCCCAUAAGACUAGGAUAACUCCGGGAAACCGGGGCUAAAACCGGAUAACAUUUUGAACCGCAUGGUUCGAAAUUGAAAGGCGGCUUCGGCUGUCACUUAUGGAUGGACCCGCGUCGCAUUAGCUAGUUGGUGAGGUAACGGCUCACCAAGGCAACGAUGCGCAGCCGACCUGAGAGGGUGAUCGGCCACACUGGGACUGAGACACGGCCCAGACUCCUACGGGAGGCAGCAGUAGGGAAUCUUCCGCAAUGGACGAAAGUCUGACGGAGCAACGCCGCGUGAGUGAUGAAGGCUUUCGGGUCGUAAAACUCUGUUGUUAGGGAAGAACAAGUGCUAGUUGAAUAAGCUGGCACCUUGACGGUACCUAACCAGAAAGCCACGGCUAACUACGUGCCAGCCGCCGCCGUAA